CUGGAUAUUAGUGAUCAACACGGUCUCCAACAGGCUGGUCACCAUCAGAGUGAGAGUGAUGCUGAAGAAAACGUCUGCAGGAAGUUGAAAAGGGACAGGAAGCAGGUUGUUCAUGAUAAGGAGGAACACGGUGUAGCCCAGGAUGAGGGUCAUCUUAAAGGAGGAACGGUCCAUACUAUCAGGAGGCAGCAGGAAGCUGAAGAGGUCCACUGUGACGAGGAAGCAGCUGGGGAUCAGCAGGUUCACCACAUAGAGGAGUGGCCUACGUCUCACAAUGAUCUUGGGAACAGACACAGCUUCCAGUGAGGAUUUCAAGCUUUGAAUGCCGGUUGUCAUAUUAUAUGACGAAGAAAAGUGAUUCAUCAGAUUAAAUGAG